GAAGGGUCAAUGCAAACAGAAGCACAUGGGAUAACGAGAGCAGGAGGGGUUACAUGAAAGGAGCUUGGCCUUGAGAAUUGUUGACACUGUGGAAUGGAUGGGGACAUGGGGGUUCAUCCUGAUAUUUUCAACACUGUUUUAUAUGUUUGAAAAAAUUUAAGUACUUGGGAAGUGAAAGUGCUCAGAGAUACCAGAAUCAAAGUGGGAUGAGAUUAACUUUGUUUGGGUGUUGCUGGGAAGACUGCAUGGAGGAGGUGGGAACUGGUAUAAGAUGGGAAGAAACGGUAUUCCCCUAGGCAAGGAGGCCACUGCUUCCUGAGAGUCAGCGCCAUCUGAAGAGGAAGG
rnacentral:lncRNA from 1 species